UGGGGAAUAUUGGACAAUGGGCGAAAGCCUGAUCCAGCCAUGCCGCGUGUGUGAAGAAGGUCUUCGGAUUGUAAAGCACUUUAAGUUGGGAGGAAGGGCAGUAAGCGAAUACCUUGCUGUUUUGACGUUACCGACAGACUAAGCACCGGCUAACUCUGUGCCAGCAGCCGCGGUAAUACAGAGGGUGCAAGCGUUAAUCGGAAUUACUGGGCGUAAAGCGCGCGUAGGUGGUUCGUUAAGUUGAAUGUGAAAGCCCCGGGCUCAACCUGGGAAGUGCAUCCAAAACUGGCGAGCUAGAGUAGGGCAGAGGGUGGUGGAAGUUCCUGUGUAGCGGUGAAAUGCGUAGGUAUAGGAAGGAACACCAGUGGCGAAGGCGACCACCUGGGCUCAUACUGACACUGGGGUGCGAAAGCGUGGGGAGCAAACAGG
rnacentral:rRNA from 1 species